rnacentral:rRNA from 1 species
UACGAAGGGGGCUAGCGUUGCUCGGAAUUACUGGGCGUAAAGGGCGCGUAGGCGGAUGUUUAAGUCAGCGGUGAAAGCCCCGGGCUCAACCUGGGAAUUGCAUUCGAUACUGGAUAGCUAGAGUUCGGCAGAGGGAAGCGGAAUUUCCGGUGUAGCGGUGAAAUGCGUAGAUAUCGGAAGGAACAUCAGUGGCGAAAGCGGCUUCCUGGACCAGAACUGACGAUCAGGCACGAAAGCGUGGGGAGCAAACAGG